CUUAAAUUGAAGAGUUUGAUCAUGGCUCAGAUUGAACGCUGGCGGCAGGCCUAACACAUGCAAGUCGAGCGGAAACGA
rnacentral:rRNA from 3 species